rnacentral:rRNA from 1 species
CCUACGGGCGGCAGCAGUGGGGAAUUUUGCGCAAUGGGGGAAACCCUGACGCAGCAACGCCGCGUGCGGGACGAAGGCCCUCGGGCUGUAAACCGCUUUCAGCAGGGAAGACAUCGACGGUACCUGCAGAAGAAGCACCGGCUAACUACGUGCCAGCAGCCGCGGUAAUACGUAGGGGGCGAGCGUUAUCCGGAUUCAUUGGGCGUAAAGCGGGCGUAGGCGGCCGCCUAAGCGGAGCCUCAAACCCCGGGGCUCAACCUCGGGCCGGGUUCCGGACCGGGCGGCCCGAGUGCGGGAGAGGAGAGCGGAAUUCCCGGUGUAGCGGUGGAAUGCGCAGAUAUCGGGAAGAACACCGAUGGCGAAGGCAGCUCUCUGGGCCGUCACUGACGCUGAGGCGCGAAAGCUGGGGGAGCGAACAGGAUUAGAUACCCUAGUAGUC